CCUUAUCAUUCGACUGUCCAGACUGUAUUUGCGAACUGGACGGAGAACUGAUAAGGGC
rnacentral:pre_miRNA from 1 species